UACGUAGGGUGCGAGCGUUGUCCGGAUUUAUUGGGCGUAAAGGGCUCGUAGGCGGCGUGUCGCGUCGGGAGUGAAAGCCCCUUGGCUUAACCGAGGAAGUGCAUCCGAAACUGGCGAGCUAGAGUACUAAAGAGGAUCGCGGAAUUCCCGGUGUAGAGGUGAAAUUCGUAGAUAUCGGAAGGAACACCUGUGGCGAAAGCGGCUCACUGGACCAUUACUGACGCUGAGGCACGAAAGCUAGGGGAGCAAACAGG
rnacentral:rRNA from 1 species